UUAAAUUGAAGAGUUUGAUCAUGGCUCAGAUUGAACGCUGGCGGCAGGCCUAACACAUGCAAGUCGAACGGUAACAGGAAGAAGCUUGCUUCUUUGCUGACGAGUGGCGGACGGGUGAGUAAUGUCUGGGAAACUGCCUGAUGGAGGGGGAUAACUACUGGAAACGGUAGCUAAUACCGCAUAACGUCGCAAGACCAAAGAGGGGGACCUUCGGGCCUCUUGCCAUCGGAUGUGCCCAGAUGGGAUUAGCUUGUUGGUGGGGUAACGGCUCACCAAGGCGACGAUCCCUAGCUGGUCUGAGAGGAU
rnacentral:rRNA from 1 species